rnacentral:rRNA from 1 species
GACGAACGCUGGCGGCGUGCUUAACACAUGCGAGUCGAACGGAAAGGCUCCAGCUUGCUGGAGUACUCGAGUGGCGAACGGGUGAGUAACACGUGGGUAAUCUGCCCUGCACUCUGGGAUAAGCCUGGGAAACUGGGUCUAAUACUGGAUAUGACCUUCCGCCUUAUGGGGUUUGGUGGAAAGUUUUUCGGUGUAGGAUGGGCCCGCGGCCUAUCAGCUUGUUGGUGGGGUGAUGGCCUACCAAGGCGACGACGGGUAGCCGGCCUGAGAGGGGGAUCGGCCACAUUGGGACUGAGAUACGGCCCAGACUCCUACGGGAGGCAGCAGUGGGGAAUAUUGCACAAUGGGCGGAAGCCUGAUGCAGCGACGCCGCGUGAGGGAUGACGGCCUUCGGGUUGUAAACCUCUUUCGGCUGGGACGAAGCGUAAGUGACGGUACCUGCAGAAGAAGCACCGGCUAACUAUGUG